GUAUUGUAUGAAAGGAAAGGUUAGCAUUCUCCUUGAUAAGGAUGGUAAAGGUCCUAGUGACCUUUACACCAUAUAUAUGGUUAAGGCAUUGCCACCUACUGUGUGGCAUCUAACCAUGUGUUUGA
rnacentral:ncRNA from 1 species